rnacentral:rRNA from 1 species
AACUAACGCUGGCGGCGUGCCUAACACAUGCAAGUCGUACGAGAAAGCCGGCUUCGGCUGGUGAGUAAAGUGGCGCACGGGUGAGUAACGCGUGGAUAAUCUGCCCUUAAGUGUGGAAUAACGUACCGAAAGGUGCGCUAAUACCGCAUAAUGCCUGGCAACACAAGUUGUCCGGCCAAAGAAGGCCUCUGUUUACAAGCUUUCGCUUCAGGAUGAGUCCGCGUACCAUUAGCUUGUUGGUGGGGUAAUGGCCUACCAAGGCUGCGAUGGUUAGCUGGUCUGAGAGGAUGAUCAGCCACACUGGAGCUGAGACACGGUCCAGACUCCUACGGGAGGCAGCAGUGAGGAAUAUUGCGCAAUGGGGGCAACCCUGACGCAGCAACGCCGCGUGAGUGAGGAAGGUUUUCGGACUGUAAAGCUCUGUCGAGCGGGAAGAAGUGUACCAUGGCUAAUAUCCAUGAUAUUUGACGGUACCGCUAGAA